CCCCGCGCCGGGCUCCCCACGGAGAGGCACUCCCCCUCCCUCCGCCCCGCCCGCUGGCCACACGGUGGAGAGACGCUGCGGAGAAGCCGGGAGGGAAGCGCAAACGCGCGUGUCGCCCAGGACAGCGAGACAGCGGUUAGCGGUCGGUGGGCUCGGAUUGGACAUUCCCAGCGCCUCGCUGGUCCCACGGAAAUGGAGAAAUAGCUUCGGGAAGGAAGUCUGAGAUCAGAGGGACAGCCGGUUUGGUUUCUUCUGAGGCCUCUCUCCUUGGCUUGCAGACAGCUGCCUUCCUCCUGUGUCUUUCCUCUGUACAGGCUACUCUAUAUCAGAACAAGGCUGAGAUGGGGCCUGAAAGGUGAUGACCGUCUCCCAGAGAGCCUGGCUUUGGAGCCUGAUUGCGGUAACUGAUGAGGCUGGGUGUGUCCCCUUUGAGGAAGAGACACAGUUUGGCUGCACAAGGCCUGACCUCCGGCUCCCGUCCUUGCCCUGACCUUCCGCCUGCAGCACAGCAGCCUGAGUGGUCCUUUUAAAGCAUGAGUCAGGUUGG